UACGUAGGGUGCAAGCGUUAAUCGGAAUUACUGGGCGUAAAGCGUGCGCAGGCGGUUAUGUAAGACAGAGGUGAAAUCCCCGGGCUCAACCUGGGAACUGCCUUUGUGACUGCAUAGCUGGAGUACGGCAGAGGGGGAUGGAAUUCCGCGUGUAGCAGUGAAAUGCGUAGAUAUGCGGAGGAACACCGAUGGCGAAGGCAAUCCCCUGGGCCUGUACUGACGCUCAUGCACGAAAGCGUGGGGAGAAAACAGG
rnacentral:rRNA from 1 species